UAACUUGGAACUUGAUAGACUUGCACUUGAAUGAUGUCAUACCACAUAAUUUUACAAUUAUUGCGAGUGGGUUUAUUUCCAUUAAUCAAGUGGAAUGACAUAAAUAUCCCGGAUACUUGUUGGAUUUUAAAAAUCCUACCAUUUCAGCCGCUACCAUCUGGAGCAGAAGUAACAUUAGUUAACUGAUAUUUCUAACUAGAUGAACAGAUAUUUGAUUGAGUCCAGUUGUUAAAUCUACCAGCCACCAUGGAACAUCAAUUUCUUGUUGAAUCAACAAUCCUAUUUUUAUUCGAAACUUUAAAAAAAGCUUUAAAAGCAUAAGCUUUC